UACGUAGGGUGCAAGCGUUGUCCGGAAUUAUUGGGCGUAAAGAGCUCGUAGGCGGUCUGUCGCGUCGGAUGUGAAAACCCAGGGCUCAACCCUGGGCCUGCAUUCGAUACGGGCAGACUAGAGUUCGGCAGGGGAGACUGGAAUUCCUGGUGUAGCGGUGAAAUGCGCAGAUAUCAGGAGGAACACCGGUGGCGAAGGCGGGUCUCUGGGCCGAUACUGACGCUGAGGAGCGAAAGCGUGGGGAGCGAAC
rnacentral:rRNA from 1 species